AGUGGAUGGGGAGCAACCUAGUUGUGCGUGUGUAAAGGUAGUGCCAAGAAAAGCGAUGAUCAUGUUGAAAAUCAAUUCCCGGUACCCGAAACCGACACAGGUGGGCAAGUAGAGAAUACUAAGGGGCGCGAGGUAACUCUCUCCAAGGAACUCGGCAAAAUGACCCCGUAACUUAGGGAGAAGGGGUGCCACCGAGAGGUGGUCGCAGUGAAGAGGCCCAGGCGACUGUUUAGCAAAAACAUAGGUCUCUGCAAACUCGAAAGAGGAGGUAUAGGGGCUGACGCCUGCCCAGUGCCGGAAGGUUAAAGAAGUUGGUCAGUUUUAGGAUGAAGCUAGCGACUGAAGCCCCGGUGAACGGCGGCCGUAACUAUAACGGUCCUAAGGUAGCGAAAUUCCUUGUCGGGUAAGUUCCGACCCGCACGAAAGGCGUAACGAUCUGGGCGCUGUCUCGGAGAGAGGCUCGGCGAAAUAGGAUUGUCUGUGAAGAUACGGACUACCUGCAUUUGGACAGAAAGACCCUAUGAAGCUUUACUAUAGCUUGGAAUUGUGUUCGGGCUUCCUGUGCGCAGGAUAGGUGGGAGGCGUAGAAGGUAUUCUUGUGGGGAUACUGGAGCCAACGGUGAGAUACCACUCUCAGGAGGCUAGAGUUCUAACUUAAUUAAGGACAGUUUCAGGUGGGUAGUUUGACUGGGCGGUCGCCUCCAAAAAGGUAACGGAGGCGUACAAAGGUUCCCUCAGACUGGUUGGAAAUCAGUCGAAGAGUGCAAAGGCAGAAGGGAGCUUGACUGCGAGAAGUACAGUUCGAGCAGGGUGGAAACACGGUCUUAGUGAUCCGACGGUGCUGUGUGGAAGGGCCGUCGCUCAACGGAUAAAAGUUACUCUAAGGAUAACAGGCUGAUCUCCCCCAAGAGUUCACAUCGACGGGGAGGUUUGGCACCUCGAUGUCGGCUCAUCGCAACCUGGGGCGGAAGUACGUCCCAAGGGUUGGGCUGUUCGCCCAUUAAAGCGGUACGUGAGCUGGGUUCAGAACGUCGUGAGACAGUUCGGUCCAUAUCCGAUGUAGGCGUGAGAAUAUUGAGAGGAGCCUUCCUUAGUACGAGAGGACCGGGAAGGACGCACCGCUGGUGUACCUGUUAUGAUGCCAAUUGUAAACGCAGGGUAGCCAAAUGCGGAGAGGAUAACCGCUGAAAGCAUCUAAGUGGGAAGCCCACCUCAAGAUGAGUAUUCUGGUGUAAGGUCACGGGAAGACGACCCGUAAAUAGGCACGAGGUGGAAGUGCAGAGAUGUAUGAAGCCGAAGUGUACUAAUAGACCGUCGGCUUGACC
rnacentral:rRNA from 1 species